ensembl:lncRNA
AUGGCAACAGUUCCUAUGACAACCAGACCUCCACCGGGGGAUUGCGUCUGUCAGACAGUGCUAAUGAUAAUUGAGAGGGGGAUUUUCCUGUGGCGAGCCGCUUCGGAAAAAGCAAUUAAGAAUUCCCAAACAGUGCACAACAAUGGAAGACGUCGUUCUGCAAUGCAAGUUCCGAAUCCAAGCUGGAGUGGGCAGGCAUGCGGGUUUGGCCACAGGAAGCCAUGAAUUCCUCGGAGAACAGAGGGUGUCAGGGCCCAGAACACGACUUGGGGGGGGAGUGACAUACUGUACCUUGUAACGUCUCAUAAUCCUCCUAGUUGACCCCUGACCCCGGCCUGCGUUUUUAUCAGGUCAUCGACGUGAGGAAUUGUAAUGAGUCACUCCAGCAGUGUGUUUACCUUCUGGAGUCACGCAAGGAAGGAAAUAAGGCACGGUCUUCUAAAAGUGUCAAAGUGAGAGAGAAUAGCAGCAGUAUUAGAGCAGAGCCCUGAUUCAUCUCACUGUGACUGACCUCUUGUACCGUUACACUGGGUUUAUUUAACCUAUUCACUACUGUAGGGAGACUAGCUACAGAUCAGCCAAAACAGGGAGUAAGUCUACAAUAUAGCGCACUGUAUGAAAACAUAAGGUAUGAGAUUAAUAGUGUAAUUCUGUAAUUGAUGUCUGAUUCAUAGUUUGGUUCACUCAUUGAGUGAAAUGAUCCGUGUACUGUAGUAUGUAGGUACAGCUUGUUUUUGCUAUCACUGUGUAAUAUGUUGCUAAUAGUCCGAACAUGUAUUAUUUUUGUCAUAAUUUUCUGCUGACUGUGUUGCAGUCGUUCCAGUUUUUUUGCUAUGCCCAAUGAAAUUAGGCGAGAUUAAGUAAUUUCUUUUCUCUGUCUCAUGCAACAAUCAUAAAUGAGGUGAUUUUUCCGUGUAAUAAAAAUGUAUUGCAAUACAUUUCUGACUCUCCCAGAUACAGAUUAUAUUAUACGCUUUAGAGGAGAAAUCGCUGCACUCCCAAAUACAUUGUUUUUUUUAUCUUGAACUUGAAACUGGAAUGAGUAUGGAACUGUGGCCAACGCCUGUGAUUAAAAUACAAUGUCCUGGCCUACCAUCACGCUGUAGCCUUCGACACCGUGGGCUUAUGUGAUUGCACAAUUGUUGUUUUUGAGCAAGUGCCCUUGUUAGUUUUACUCUGUAAAUAAAUAUGUGCUUCGAGCUGACAAUUCAUCCUCCGUUA